rnacentral:lncRNA from 1 species
UUUACGUUAUUUCUACUGGAGUUACUAAUGCUCUUUUGUUUUUGUUUUUGUUUUUGUUUAUGUUUUUUUUUCCUUACUAAGCCGAGGAUCGAUUGGAACCAGCCUCUCUGCCCUUUCAUAUAGAGGUAAGGCCCGUCUACAUAUUAUCCUUCUCAUACCCCACUUUGUGAGACUAUACUAAGUAAUAAUUGUUGUUGUUGUAUUCUUCAUUAUAGUGUUAAUGUCUCUGACUAGAUAAUUUAAUAACAAAGGGAAAAAAACCAUUAUUUAUUUCAUUUCACAUAGAGACUAGAAGCAGCUUCUGGUCAUUUUGAACUCAAGCGCUUCUCUCGUAUUUUUUAGCUUGCUAGUUGCAAAUAAAGAGAGGAUUGAAUUCAAAGUUGACAACCACUUUGUAAGCUACCUCAAGGACGGUCAUUUUGCAAGAGAUUUAAAGGUUUGAUUAUAAAUAAAGAUAAUAAAAGAUUGCAUUGAAACUGGAUACGGUUAAAAUUAAGCCUACUCGAUUUUAUUAUUAGAUUGGAUCAGGGAGUUGCAUAGAAAAUCGACCUCGUAGUGGAUCAAAGUACGAGGACAAGGUAUCGAGUUCGAGAAUUGAGGUGCUUGUCAAAAUCUGGGUCAGUAGCGAUCGAGACUAAAUAGGGUAAACUUCGAGCAAAACGCAAUAACAGAAAGGUGAGAUAUUCGUAACUGGUCAAAGAUUAUGGCGAAAAUCUCGGAACAUUUUAUCAAAUCAAAGGCGGUUGUUUGGGCUAAUCAUGGGAUUUACUUAUGUAAUUAGAAUUGUACCACAAAUAAGAUUCCUAUACUAUAUAAAGAGGGUUCUAAUCAUUUUGUAGACAC